rnacentral:rRNA from 1 species
GGACCAGACUUCUACGGAAGGCAGCAGUGAGGAAUAUUGGUCAAUGGAGGAAACUCUGAACCAGCUAUGUCGCGUGUAGGAAGACAGUCUUUUAGAUUGUAAACUACUUUUGCAUGGAAAUAAAAGUUACUACGUGAUAGUAGCCUGAAGGUACUGUGCGAAUAAGUGUCGGCUAAUUUCGUGCCAGCAGCCGCGGUAAUACGAAAGACACAAGCGUUAUCCGGAUUUAUUGGGUUUAAAGGGUGUGUAGGCUGUUUAUUAAGUCAGUAGUGAAAGCUUACAGCUUAACUGUAAAAUUGCUAUUGAUACUGAUAAUCUAGAGUAAGAUUGGAGCAUCUGGAAUGUAUGGUGUAGCGGUGAAAUGCAUAGAUAUCAUACAGAACACCAAUAGCGAAGGCAGGAUGCUAAAUCUUCACUGACGCUGAGGCACUAAAGCGUGGGGAGCAAACAGGAUUAGAUACCCUGGUAGUCCACUGCCCUAAACUAUGAUCACUAGCUAUUGGAAAAACUAUAUUCAGUGGCUAAGCCAAAGCGAUAAGUGAUCCACCUGGGAAGUACGAUCGCAAGAUUGAAACUCAAAGGAAUUGACGGGGUUUCGCACAAGCGGUGGAGCAUGUGGUUUAAUUCGAUGAUACGCGAGGAACCUUACCAAGGCUUAAAUGUAUUACGAAUAAGCUGGAAACAACUUAGUCUAUAAGACGUAAUACAAGGUGCUGCAUGGUUGUCUUCAGUUCGUGCUGUGAAGUGUUUGGUUAAGUCCUAUAACGAGCGCAACCCCUAUUGUUAGUUGCCAACGGGUAAAGCCGGGGACUCUAACAAAACUGCCGGUGUAAAUCGUGAGGAAGGUGGGGAUAA